CAUGAUGUCAUCAUGACAUGAUAACAUGAAGUCAUGAUGUCAUGAAGUCAUGAUGUCAUGAUGUCAUGAUGACAUCAUG
rnacentral:miRNA from 14 species